rnacentral:rRNA from 1 species
AGUGAACGCUGGCGGUAGGCCUAACACAUGCAAGUCGAACGGCAGCACAGUAAGAGCUUGCUCUUACGGGUGGCGGGUGGCGGACGGGUGAGGAAUACAUCGGAAUCUACUUUUUCGGGGGGGUUAACGUAGGGAAACUUACGCUAAUACCGCAUACGACCUACGGGUGAAAGCAGGGGAUCUUCGGACCUUGCGCGAUUGAAUGAGCCGAUGUCGGAUUAGCUAGUUGGCGGGGUAAAGGCCCACCAAGGCGACGAUCCGUAGCUGGUCUGAGAGGAUGAUCAGCCACACUGGAACUGAGACACGGUCCAGACUCCUACGGGAGGCAGCAGUGGGGAAUAUUGGACAAUGGGCGCAAGCCUGAUCCAGCCAUACCGCGUGGGUGAAGAAGGCCUUCGGGUUGUAAAGCCCUUUUGUUGGGAAAGAAAAGCAGCAGGUUAAUACCCCGCUGUUCUGACGGUACCCAAAGAAUAAGCACCGGCUAACUUCGUG